CUCGAUAAAACUUUAUUGUUAGUGACCAGUGAAUUGAACUUUUUUAACUGUGUUUUGGGUACAGGGUAACCUCAAUGGAGGAACUCCCACCAAAUGCGACCUCUAGCGAACAAAAUUGGUAAAAACUUUCGGGUAGAUUCCAAUUCCUAACCAACAAAAAAAAAAAAAAAAAAAAGAAAAGCUCAUAAGCUCGCACAGUGAAUUUCAAGUUUAUUGCAAUCAUUUUGAUCGUGUCGUAUGAACUAAAAGAAGGAACAAGUGUGCUAGUAUUCUAUGUUUAGUGUGAUAAUUUUUAUUUCGCCUUCAAUUUAUCUUCUGGCAAAUCGUUCAGUGCCGUACCAAAAUUGGUUCUUGCUGGGUUGCGGAGCUCUCUUUCAUCAAGGUCCCACAUUUUACCUUAACACUGGUUACUGGUGUCUAUACCUUGCCGGACACACUAAUCAUAUUUGCCGUAUCUCACUCCAGGUGACCAUUGCCUGAGACCAUCAAACUCAGAUCACCUGGCGGGAAUCGAACCCGGGACCUCUUGGUCAUAGGGCCUGUGCUACAACCACUACACCACAGGAGGCCAACAAUGAUUAGGAAUAAUGGUCAGCUUGUAUAAAUUUGUCCUUGUUGGAAUUUUGGGUCACAGUAAUUAAGUAAUCUGACUAACUACUUAAUCUCCAUUUCAAGAAAAGUGCACAAUUUUGUUAAUGUAACAGUAAUUAUGCAACUGUAGGUGAGGGGAUUCAAGUGUUCAAGUUUCAGUGACAAGUCCUUUCAUCACCGAAGGAAAUCCUCAUAGUCAAAACAAUGGUAUAGUCACUGUGACUUUUGUGGUGUAAACAUAAAUUUGAAAAAUUUUGAGGAGAAAAAUCUCAAUUUGGUCCUAGACGUUCGAUAAUACAUGCCUCGAGCCCUUCAAUGUAAAUUCUGCACUAACUUCAUUGUUUCAUUAUUUUUCACUAGCAGGAAACCCGUGCUACGCACAGGAAAACCCCACCAUCAGCAAUCACUGUGAUUAGUGAUCAAUUACUAAUUAUUGUGUUUCUGAAUAAUUAUCUACUAUUUCAAAAUUGGCGAGACGCACUGGUUUGAUAAAAAAGUAGAGAUUAGUAGUAUGUUGCUAUUUUGGUCUGUUCUGCAGUAAGCUCAUAUGAUAAUUAUACUAAUCAAAAAUACCCAAUCAAAAGUUGGUUAUUUUCAUAAAGAUUUGUUACUUUUGUCAGUUCAAUGUUUAAUUGAAGUUAGCUGGUGAGUUUCAGCCGCGAAAAUUACGGGAUUUAACCAGCGGUUUCGCUUAAUUCUCAGCAAUGGCGGGUUUGUCAUCUACAUCGCGGAGAAAACUUGAUUUUUCAAGGGAUUUUGUAAAACAAAUUAGAAAUUACUUGAUAUGAUCACCACGGUAUCGCUGCAAAUACGU
rnacentral:lncRNA from 1 species